rnacentral:lncRNA from 1 species
UCUGAUCAGCUGCUGCACGCCUUGGCACGUCGAGAAUUUGCUGCACGGUAAUCUCUGUUUUGUGGGCUCCAUGUCGCACGGUCCCACACUAGUACAACCCUCUCGGCAAAUGUGCUCCAAACACUCCAUUGCAUCGCCUAGCUGAACGUACAGCUCCUGCUCCCCUCUCUGCCUCCUCCUUUUCUUUUUCCUCUGUUAACAUCAAAUUUUUUUCUUAUAGUUUUCUCGGCACCAAAACAAAAUAUUAUGAACCGAUUGCAGGAGAAAGCUCAACAACUCACAGAUUCAUCCUCAUCGAUGAAUUGGAGGAUCUCGAGUUCGAGCCAGGGGUCGUGGUCUUGCAAGAACUUCCAUCCCUCUGU